UGGGGAAUAUUGGACAAUGGGCGCAAGCCUGAUCCAGCCAUGCCGCGUGAGUGAUGAAGGCCUUAGGGUUGUAAAGCUCUUUCGGCGGGGACGAUAAUGACGGUACCCGCAGAAGAAGCCCCGGCUAACUUCGUGCCAGCAGCCGCGGUAAUACGAAGGGGGCUAGCGUUGCUCGGAAUCACUGGGCGUAAAGGGCGCGUAGGCGGACAUUUAAGUCGGGGGUGAAAGCCCAGGGCUCAACCCUGGAAUUGCCUCCGAUACUGGGUGUCUCGAGACCGGUAGAGGUGAGUGGAACUGCGAGUGUAGAGGUGAAAUUCGUAGAUAUUCGCAAGAACACCAGUGGCGAAGGCGGCUCACUGGUCCGGUUCUGACGCUGAGGCGCGAAAGCGUGGGGAGCAAACAGGAUUAGAUACCCUGGUAGUCCACGCCGUAAACGAUGGAUGCUAGCCGUUGGCAGGCUUGCCUGUCAGUGGCGCAGCUAACGCUUUAAGCAUCCCGCCUGGGGAGUACGGCCGCAAGGUUAAAACUCAAAGGAAUUGACGGGGUCAUAGCUGUUUCCU
rnacentral:rRNA from 1 species